rnacentral:rRNA from 1 species
GAUGAACGCUGGCGGCAUGCCUAAGACAUGCAAGUCGUACGAAGCGGCCCAAUGAAGAUUGCGUGCUUGCACAAAAUUGGAUUUGGAUUUCCGCUUAGUGGCAAACGGGUGAGUAACACGUGGGUGUACCUACCUCUAAGUCGGGGAUAACAAUUGGAAACGAUUGGUAAUACCGGAUGUGCUCUACGGAGUAAAGGAGCCUUUAAAGCUCCGCUUAGAGAUGGGCCUGCGGCGCAUUAGCUAGUUGGUGAGAUAAUGGCCCACCAAGGCGACGAUGCGUAGCCGAACUGAGAGGUUGAUCGGCACAUUGGGACUGAGACACGGCCCAGACUCCUAACGGGAGACAGCAGUUAGGAAUAUUCGUCAAAUGGGGGAAACCCUGAACGAGCAAUGCCGCGUGAGUGAUGACGGUCUCUGGAUUGUAAAAACUCUGUUAGUUUAGGAAAAAAUUGUAAUUGUAGGAAAUGACAAUAGCUUGAUGGUACUAUUC